rnacentral:sRNA from 1 species
GCUAGGCAUGGUGGGGUGGGUCUGUGGUCCCAGCACUCAGGAGGCUGAGGUAGUGGUAUUGCUGGAGACCAGGAAUUCAAAGCCAGCCUGGGCAAUUUAGCAAGAUCCUGUCUCAG